rnacentral:rRNA from 1 species
GUGAGGAAUAUUGGUCAAUGGGCGCGAGCCUGAACCAGCCAAGUAGCGUGAGGGAUGACUGCCCUAUGGGUUGUAAACCUCUUUUGCAGGGGGGUAAAGUGGUUCACGUGUGGACCAUUGCAAGUACCCUGCGAAUAAGGAUCGGCUAACUCCGUGCCAGCAGCCGCGGUAAUACGGAGGAUCCGAGCGUUAUCCGGAUUUAUUGGGUUUAAAGGGAGCGUAGGCGGGGGUUUAAGUCAGCUGUGAAAUGCCGUGGCCCAACCAUGGAACUGCAGUUGAAACUGGACCUCUUGAGAGUACAUAAGGAAGGCGGAAUUCGUGGUGUAGCGGUGAAAUGCAUAGAUAUCACGAAGAACUCCGAUUGCGAAGGCAGCUUUCCGGGGUACAUCUGACGCUGAAGCUCGAAAGUGCGGGAAUCAAACAGGAUUAGAUACCCGGUAGUCC